UUCAUUAAAGAUACUGGUGGGUCUAAUUCUACUCAAACUACUUCUGGAGUUCACCGACUAUGAGUGCUCAUCCUACGGUGCCCCCUCCAUCUCGGGAACCAAACACGAGAAGCCGCCUAUGAUUUUCACCGAUGAGUUUUUCUGAGCCCAGUUUGUUAGUCUGCUAGAUCUACUGAUUGCUAGAAUGUUGCGAUCUUUGAAAAUUUUAGUUCUCGCUAUCUUCUUCGUCCUGGCCCUAUUGAUACAGUGUGGGGUUGGCGUUGGGAAGUUGGUUUUUAAUUGUGUUUACAGCCUAUUUUGUUCAGUGUACCAGAAGAACUUCAGAAAUGAACGGACUGAACGCCAUCCUUCAGAGCCUUGCUGAAAAGGACUUUAUAUGAUGCUUCCUGCUGGUCAAUUAAUCACUGAUUAUCUUUCUUUGGGGGAAAUGACAAAUUAUUUAAAUACACUGCUGUCCUGAAUUUUUAAAUUAAUUUUGAUUGGUUUACGCAAUCAGUCCAAAGAAAUAAACACAAAUAUGUUUACAAACAUU
rnacentral:sRNA from 1 species